UGAUGUAAUACAGAAUAAGAGGAGAAUUUGGGGCCUGUCUUUGUCUUUUCUUGGCUCUUUCCUUCAAGGUGUACACCCUGUCAUAUUGUUAUGCUCUCAUGGUUGCCUUUUCCAGUAUACAUACUUACACAAGCAAACAUUUCUCUGCUAACAUUUAUGUCUGAGUCCCACACACCCAAUGAAGACCUGCCUGACAGCAAUCCCUGGACACUCCCGAAGGAAAUUGGGCCAUACCUCCUUGACUGCACUGGAUCCAUCUUGCUCCAUUUUAACGGACACUUCGGCCAGAGCUUUGGGUACUGACUUCAAUCAAGUUGAGGAUUUCAAGCAAGAUCUUCAAUCAAAUGAAUCCCAUCUAACAUGGACUGGAUACAAUCCAUUCAAGACUUUCACUAUACUAACAUUUUCUUCCUACAGGACCCCACAAGGCUGUCGUCAUCCCAUUUCAUCAGGAAGUAACUUGGAGGAUGCUACACCCCCUUUCCCCAUUGUUGUCACUUAGGAUAGUGUAUAUACCUAGUUAGGGAUAGCUUCCUAUUGUUUAUGGUUGGGAGUGGAAGGAGGUGUUCAGGCUUGGACACCUCUUUCAGAUGGCUUUAUGGUUUAGUUAAAAUAGACAUAGUUAGGACGUAACAUAAGCAGAUUGUUAUACCUUAUAUUUCACCUUUAUGAUUGUUAAUUUUGGAUACUUUACACUGUUAAGUUUUAAUCCUCUUUUAGACUAAAAGGGGAAUUGUAGGGGAUGCUGUAGCCACGCUUCCUUAGGGGCUGGCUACAGGUGUGCCUGACCACGCCUUAGAGGGCGUGGCCAGGGUGAUGUAGGGAAAGUUUAAGAGUGAGGGCGCUCAGGUGACGGCCCUGCUUUCCCUUUCAUCUUCGGCUUGCUGUUCUUACUGCUGCCCCACCGGCUGGCUGGGUCGCUCUCCCAGAGCUCUUCCUGUGGCCAGAUGUGCUGAAGAGACAACACCAGCCAGAAGGCCAGCGAGACGCCCUCUGCAGCCAGCAGACAGCAUCUUAACGAUUCCUGCACUGAGGAGUCCUGGAGACGGCUGUCACCCUUGGAGCCCCCAGACUGAGGAGGAAGGCCAGACAGGAGUACCCUGUCCUGAAGACAAGUUCUCAUCAGAGUAGGGGAGAAGCACACCCUUCCCACAACUCUUCAAGAGAGGAGUCGG
rnacentral:lncRNA from 1 species